rnacentral:rRNA from 1 species
GAUCAUGGCUCAGAUUGAACGCUGGCGGCAGGCCUAACACAUGCAAGUCGAACGGUAACAGGAAGCAGCUUGCUGCUUUGCUGACGAGUGGCGGACGGGUGAGUAAUGUCUGGGAAACUGCCUGAUGGAGGGGGAUAACUACUGGAAACGGUAGCUAAUACCGCAUAACGUCGCAAGACCAAAGAGGGGGGACCUUCGGGCCUCUUGCCAUCGGAUGUGCCCAGAUGGGAUUAGCCAG